UACGAAGGGUGCAAGCGUUACUCGGAAUUACUGGGCGUAAAGCGUGCGUAGGUGGUGAGUUAAGUCUGUCGUGAAAGCCCCGGGCUCAACCUGGGAAUGGCGAUGGAUACUGGCUCGCUAGAGUGCGGUAGAGGAGAGUGGAAUUCCCGGUGUAGCAGUGAAAAUGCGUAGAGAUCGGGAGGAACAUCAGUUGCGAAGGCGGCUCUCUGGACCAGCACUGACACUGAGGCACGAAAAGCGUGGGGGAGCAAACAGG
rnacentral:rRNA from 1 species